AAAGAAAAGAAUCCCAAUACUUAGAAGGCAGAGGCAAACUGAUCUCUGUGAAUCAAGAGGCCAGCACACAGUUAACACAGUGAGACACCCUGUCUCAAUAAACAAAACAAACCCGAACCUUGAAUGUGCUUGGAAAGUGCUUUACAACUGAGCCACAGCCACAGCCUUUGUGGCUAAUUACUUUGCAUAAAAUACGAUCCACAGCUGGGCUUGCCUACGAUCCCAACACUCUGGAGGCUGAGAAGGGACUAGGACCUGGCCUGGAAUCCUCCUUUGAUGCACAUUUCCCAGUUACGUCAGAUUUUCCCCGAAGGCUAUCCUGGCUUGAGAGCCUUUUCGGCUUAGGGACUGCCCAAACAAAUCCAAACAAAUAAAACCACUGGCAAGUUUCC
rnacentral:lncRNA from 1 species